rnacentral:rRNA from 1 species
GACGAACCGAGCGAACGUUGUUCGGAAUCACUGGGCUUAAAGGGCGCGUAGGCGGGCUGUCAAGUUUGGGGUGAAAUCCCGCGGCUCAACCGUGGAACGGCCUCAAAUACUGACGGUCUCGAGGGAGGUAGGGGCGAGCGGAACUGAUGGUGGAGCGGUGAAAUGCGUUGAUAUCAUCAGGAACUCCGGUGGCGAAGGCGGCUCGCUGGACCUCUUCUGACGCUGAGGCGCGAAAGCUAGGGGAGCAAACGGG